UGAAACAAGAAAGUGGAGACAAUGUUUCGGCUCCUCUGUAAGCUUUUAUCAAGACUUUACAAAGGCUCAGAGAAGAGCCGAAAUGUUGUCUCUACUUUCUGGUUUC